GUGCUCACUGUGGCAGCACAUAUACUAAAAUUGCAACAAUAUAGAGAAGAUUAGCACGGCCCCUGUGCAAGGAUGACGUGAAAAUUAAUGAAGCUUUCCAUAUUUUU